rnacentral:rRNA from 1 species
UUAAAUUGAGAGUUUGAUCCUGGCUCAGGAUGAACGCUGGUGGCGUGCCUAAUACAUGCAAGUCGUACGCUAGCCGCUGAAUUGAUCCUUCGGGUGAAGUGAGGCAAUGACUAGAGUGGCGAACUGGUGAGUAACACGUAAGAAACCUGCCCUUUAGUGGGGGAUAACAUUUGGAAACAGAUGCUAAUACCGCGUAACAACAAAUCACACAUGUGAUCUGUUUGAAAGGUCCUUUUGGAUCGCUAGAGGAUGGUCUUGCGGCGUAUUAGCUUGUUGGUAGGGUAGAAGC